rnacentral:rRNA from 1 species
UACGGGGGAUGCAAGCGUUAUCCGGAUUUAUUGGGUUUAAAGGGUGCGUAGGCUGUGAGGUAAGUCAGCGGUGAGAUGCCCCCGCUCAACGGGGUGAAGUGCCAUUGAUACUGCCUUGCUGGAAUGCGGAUGCCGUGGGAGGAAUGUGUGGUGUAGCGGUGAAAUGCAUAGAUAUCACACAGAACACCGAUUGCGAAGGCAUCUCACGAAUCCGCGAUUGACGCUGAUGCACGAAAGCGUGGGUAUCAAACAGG